rnacentral:misc_RNA from 1 species
UCGUAUAACGGAGGUGCCGGGGCUGUCGCUAACUUUGUGCACGCCCUGGUGCUCUCUCACAAAAUCCAUCUCACCCCCUUUGUGCAUCACCACGUGGGUGCCCUCCCUUUGGUCCGUUCCGAAAGGGGGCAUUUGCGUUUUUAUACAAAACCACUGCAUGUGUAGAAUGUCUUACUAUUUGCGAUAACACGCAAUCAAUA